rnacentral:rRNA from 1 species
CCAACUGAUUGAACGUGCUUGCACGGACUUGACGUUGGUUUACCAGCGAGUGGCGGACGGGUGAGUAACACGUAGGUAACCUGCCCCAAAGCGGGGGAUAACAUUUGGAAACAGAUGCUAAUACCGCAUAACAAUUUGAAUCGCAUGAUUCAAAUUUAAAAGAUGGCUUCGGCUAUCACUUUGGGAUGGACCUGCGGCGCAUUAGCUUGUUGGUAGGGUAACGGCCUACCAAGGCUGUGAUGCGUAGCCGAGUUGAGAGACUGAUCGGCCACAAUGGAACUGAGACACGGUCCAUACUCCUACGGGAGGCAGCAGUAGGGAAUCUUCCACAAUGGGCGCAAGCCUGAUGGAGCAACACCGCGUGAGUGAAGAAGGGUUUCGGCUCGUAAAGCUCUGUUGUUAGAGAAGAACGUGCGUGAGAGCAACUGUUCACGCAGUGACGGUAUCUAACCAGAAAGUCACGGCUAACUACGUGCCAGCAGCCGCGGUAAUACGUAGGUGGCAAGCGUUAUCCGGAUUUAUUGGGCGUAAAGCGAGCGCAGGCGGUUUGAUAAGUCUGAUGUGAAAGCCUUUGGCUUAACCAAAGAAGUGCAUCGGAAACUGUCAGACUUGAGUGCAGAAGAGGACAGUGGAACUCCAUGUGUAGCGGUGGAAUGCGUAGAUAUAUGGAAGAACACCAGUGGCGAAGGCGGCUGUCUGGUCUGCAACUGACGCU